UGUUCAUUCAAUUUAUUUUUGGGUAUUAAUCAAAACAGCAUUCACAUAUUUUCCAAAACUGCCAUGUGUUAGUAAAACGUUGAUAUCUCACAAUUGAACGGUCGGAUCGGGCUCAUCUUUGGAUAUGCUGUUCAUAAGAGGAAUUACUAAAAUCUGGUCGGUUAGAUUGUUAUUUGGAGGUCCCUAACUCGAAAUAUACCUAUUAAACCGUGGGCUUUAAUCGAAGCCCAUGUAAAGCCCACAAUAGUCUAUAAAUAGACCCUCUAACUAAUGUGAUCAGCCUCUUUUCGAACCCUAAAACCUAAAAACGAUCUAUUACACUUAUAGACCUAUAUUUCUUCAUUCCAAAACGUUCGGGUUCAUUUCAUUACGCUAAGUGUGUGAUUUUAUGUUCCUCUCGCAAGAUUUAAGUGCGUUCUUCGUCGCGUUCAUCGGUGGUGUGUUGGUGGCUUCACUUAGUUUUGGUCCAGACCUUUAUUCUUGAUCUAUUUUCAUCAUACAUCAGUUCAUACAUCAAUCUUAGACUCGUCGAAUGUUCGUGCUUCGGAGACGAAUCAGGAUUAGUUUGCUUGCCAGGUUAUCACGUGGAUUAGCAAGCAGGUUAUGAUCUGAGAGAGUCUGGUGAUCUCCGCAUUUACUUUUCCUCGGAGGUUCCUUUUAUUUUAAUAAACUGUAAAACUGUUUUAUUCUUAGACCGCAGUAGUUGACUAGACGUCUUUAUUAUUAUAACAGUUGUUUGUCGGAUUGGUCUGACUAGUUA